UAGGGAAUCUUCGGCAAUGGACGAAAGUCUGACCGAGCAACGCCGCGUGAGUGAAGAAGGUUUUCGGAUCGUAAAACUCUGUUGUUAGAGAAGAACAAGGACGUUAGUAACUGAACGUCCCCUGACGGUAUCUAACCAGAAAGCCACGGCUAACUACGUGCCAGCAGCCGCGGUAAUACGUAGGUGGCAAGCGUUGUCCGGAUUUAUUGGGCGUAAAGCGAGCGCAGGCGGUUUCUUAAGUCUGAUGUGAAAGCCCCCGGCUCGACCGGGGAGGGUCAUUGGAAGCUGGGAGACUUGAGUGCAGAAGAGGAGGGUGGAAUUCCGUGUGUAGCGGUGACAUGCGUAGAUAUAUGGAGGAACACCAGUGGCGAAGGCGGCUCUCUGGUCUGUAACUGACGCUGAGGCUCGAAAGCGUGGGGAGCAAACAGG
rnacentral:rRNA from 1 species